CACUGGUCGAGUGACGCUGCGCCGAAAAUGUAUCGGGGCUAAACGAUUCACCGAAGCUGUGGAUUGACAUCUACGAUGUCAGUGGUAGGAGAGCGUUCUAAGUGCGUUGAAGUCAGACCGGAAGGACUGGUGGAGCGCUUAGAAGUGAGAAUGCCGGUAUGAGUAGCGAAAGACGGGUGAGAAUCCCGUCCACCGUAUGACUAAGGUUUCCUGAGGAAGGCUCGUCCGCUCAGGGUUAGUCGGGACCUAAGCCGAGGCCGAUAGGCGUAGGCGAUGGACAACAGGUUGAUAUUCCUGUACCACCUCCUCACCGUUUGAGAAAUGGGGGGACGCAGUAGGAUAGGGUAAGCGCGCUGUUGGAUAUGCGCGUCAAAGCAGUAAGGCGUGUGUGUAGGCAAAUCCGCACACUAUAACGUUGAGCUGUGAUGGCGAGUCCGUAUGGACGAAGUUCCUGAUUUCACACUGCCAAGAAAAGCCUCUAUCGAGGUGAGAGGUGCCCGUACCGCAAACCGACACAGGUAGUAGAGGAGAGAAUCCUAAGGUGUGCGAGAGAACUCUCGUUAAGGAACUCGGCAAAAUGACCCCGUAACUUCGGGAGAAGGGGUGCUCUUGAGCGUGCAAGCGCAUGAGAGCCGCAGUGAAUAGGCCCAGGCGACUGUUUAGCAAAAACACAGGUCUCUGCAAAACCGUAAGGUGACGUAUAGGGGCUGACG
rnacentral:rRNA from 1 species